CAGCAGCGCGGUAAUACGGAGGGUGCAAGCGUUAAUCGGAAUUACUGGGCGUAAAGCGUGCGUAGGCGGUGAGUUAAGUCUGCUGUGAAAUCCCCGGGCUCAACCUGGGAAUGGCAGUGGAUACUGGCUCGCUAGAGUGUGUCAGAGGAUGGUGGAAUUCCCGGUGUAGCGGUGAAAUGCGUAGAGAUCGGGAGGAACAUCAGUGGCGAAGGCGGCCAUCUGGGACAACACUGACGCUGAGGCACGGAAGCGUGGGGAGCAAACAGGAUUAGAUACCCCCGUAGUCCCUGUCUCUUAUACA
rnacentral:rRNA from 1 species